UGUAAAUCAUUACAUGGGCCUUAAAAAUUUCCAGCCCGUUUAAAAUAUAUCAAGGCCUUAUCCAAUUGAAGUAAGGAAAAGAGGAAACCCUAGCUAUAUAUACAAGAGAGAUCAGCUAACAGAGCCGCGUAUCAGAGUUCGGCGAAUUCACCAUGAGAGCCAAGUGGAAGAAGAAGCGUAUGAGGAGGUUGAAGAGGAAGCGCAGAAAGAUGAGACAGAGAUCUAAGUAGAGUCUGUUGUCAUCGUAUUGCCUUAUCUAUAAAUCUCUGUGUUUCCCUUUCUUGUUUCUUGAACCAGUUAUGUUUUUAAUUUUUUACGUUUAAGUUGCAAACAAUCUUCUGUAGAACAUGUCUUGCUCACUCGUUUUAAUAUCUACUACAAGCAGAGAUUUAUCUUAAUAAUUUUCUGGA